AGAGUUUGAUCCUGGCUCAGGAUGAACGCUAGCGGCAGGCCUAAUACAUGCAAGUCGAGGGGUAACAGGGUAGCAAUACUGCUGACGACCGGCGCACGGGUGCGUAACGCGUAUGCAACCUACCUUUAACUGGGGGAUAGCCCCGAGAAAUCGGGAUUAAUACCGCAUAACACUGUGAUAUGGCAUCAUAUUACAGUUAAAACUCCGGUGGUUAAAGAUGGGCAUGCGUGACAUUAGUUAGUUGGUAGGGUAACGGCUUACCAAGACUACGAUGUCUAGGGGUUCUGAGAGGAUGAUCCCCCACACUGGUACUGAGACACGGACCAGACUCCUACGGGAGGCAGCAGUAAGGAAUAUUGGUCAAUGGACGCAAGUCUGAACCAGCCACGCCGCGUGCAGGAAGACGGCCCUAUGGGUUGUAAACUGCUUUUAUAUAGGAAUAAACUCAUGUUCGUGAACAUGACUGAAGGUACUAUAAGAAUAAGGACCGGCUAACUCCGUGCCAGCAGCCGCGGUAAUACGGAGGGUCCAAGCGUUAUCCGGAUUUAUUGGGUUUAAAGGGUGCGCAGGCGGACCUAUUAGUCAGUGGUGAAAUCUCGGGGCUCAACUCCGAAACUGCCAUUGAUACUGUAGGUCUUGAGUUUGGUUGAAGUGGGCGGAAUGUAGCAUGUAGCGGUGAAAUGCAUAGAUAUGCUACAGAACACCGAUCGCGAAGGCAGCUCACUAAGCCAAAACUGACGCUCAGGCACGAAAGCGUGGGUAGCGAACAGGAUUAGAUACCCUGGUAGUCCACGCCGUAAACGAUGAUCACUCGUUGUUGGCGUCACAUUGUCAGUGACCAAGCGAAAGCGAUAAGUGAUCCACCUGGGGAGUACGUUCGCAAGAAUGAAACUCAAAGGAAUUGACGGGGGCCCGCACAAGCGGUGGAGCAUGUGGUUUAAUUCGAUGAUACGCGAGGAACCUUACCUGGGCUCAAAUGUAAGUUGACAGGUCCUGAAAGGGAUUUUUCUUCGGACAAUUACAAGGUGCUGCAUGGUUGUCGUCAGCUCGUGCCGCGAGGUGUCGGGUUAAGUCCCAUAACGAGCGCAACCCUAUUCUUAGUUGCCAUCAGGUCAUGCUGGGGACUCUAGGAAAACUGCCUACGCAAGUAGAGAGGAAGGUGGGGAUGACGUCAAAUCAGCACGGCCCUUACGUCCAGGGCUACACACGUGCUACAAUGGCCGGUACAGAGGGCAGCCAUCCCGCGAGGGAGAGCGAAUCUCGAAAGCCGGUCUCAGUUCGGAUCGAAGUCUGCAACCCGACUUCGUGAAGCUGGAAUCGCUAGUAAUCGCGCAUCAGCCAUGGCGCGGUGAAUACGUUCCCGGGCCUUGUACACACCGCCCGUCAAGCCAUGGAAGCUGG
rnacentral:rRNA from 1 species